rnacentral:lncRNA from 1 species
UCUCAGCUUCAAGGAUUCUAUCUAGGAUAACUCUUGCAUCAUCAGUAGGGAUGCGAAAGAAAGAACCUCUAGACAUUGUAUGUAGCAUUUGUUUAUGAUCUUUCUGAUGACCUCAAAAAAAGUGAAAUAAAAGAACAAGGUCUUCAAGAUUAAGGUUUGGACCAUAUUCUAAAAGAUCAAAAAAACAUUUCUAGGAUUUUCCCAAAGUUUCAUUAUCUUUUUGUUUAAAAUAUAGGACUUCGAGUCUAAGGUCACCGAUACAGUCGAGGGAAUAAAAAUCUAGACAAAAGUUGGCUCGUAAGACUCCCCAUUCACCUCGUUGUUGACUUACCUUAUGACUAUACCAUUGUCUAGCUUCUCCCUUUAAAGAAAAAGGAAAAAGCUUCCAACGUAAAGUUUUAUCAGAAAUGCCUUCAAUGCGAAGACAAUCACAUGUUUGCUCAAAAUCUCUAUAUUGAAGGUAAGGGUUUUGUCUUCCUUUCCUGAAAAAGAUAGGUUUUGAAUCAUGGCAAUCAACCUAGAACUUAACCUAUACUAUGAUGUUUGGAUGGGCUGUGAUGACUCCCAUCGUAAAAGGUCAGUUUCCGAAGGUGUUGCAAAUUGAUAGAUCGAUUUAGAAUGUUGGUUUUCCAUAAGGUAAGAGUAAAGAAAAUAAAAAAUACAAAAAGAUAAGAAAAGAUAAAAGUAUGAAUACAAGCUAGUAGUAAGACUCAAGAGUAUCUCAGCAAUAAUCCGCAAGCGUACGGAUAUCGGUGAGCACUUCACCCGGGAUGUUAUCCAGAGUAUCGUAUUUAUAUUUUUACCACUAGGAGAAAGCGUGCAUCUGACUAACCCGGUCUAUUACUACUAACCUUUAGGCUACAAACUAUGUGAUUCGAUGUGAGUGAUGUAUAGAGAAGACUACAACUGCACUCUCGUUCUAACCUUGGUAAGGAUGAUCUACUGUUCUGUUGGGGAGGCUCACGGAACUAGACACCAUAGAGGAUGUUCAACCCGCACCUAUAAACCCUAUCGAUCCUGCUAACAGGAUAUGGACUACAAAGGUAACUCAGAAAUGUCAUGUUGCUCGCUACUACCAGGGUCCAGCUAGUCAGGGGAUAUCUAUGAGUAUCCUAGCCCAAACACCACGUUUACGCUAGAGAUGAUUACUCUAAACUCUACGCGAAUAGAUCAAAGUAAACUCAUAAACCAAAGAAAAAUAAAACAAAGAACUUACUAGAAUUUAGAGGUCGAAAUACUGAAGAAUCCUAGGAGCAAGCCUCGGGUUAGGAGACUUGAUCCCGCAGGUACAACCUCGGAGUAGACACCG